rnacentral:rRNA from 1 species
UACAGAGGGUGCGAGCGUUAUCCGGAUUCACUGGGUUUAAAGGGUGCGUAGGUGGGCAGGUAAGUCAGUGGUGAAAUCUCCGGGCUUAACCCGGAAACUGCCAUUGAUACUAUUUGUCUUGAAUACCGUGGAGGUCAGCGGAAUAUGUCAUGUAGCGGUGAAAUGCUUAGAUAUGACAUAGAACACCAAUUGCGAAGGCAGCUGGCUACACGAAUAUUGACACUGAUGCACGAAAGCGUGGGGAUCAAACAGG